UAAAAAUAAAUAAAUUAAGUACAUUUUUCAUACAAUUAAGAAAAAUAAAAUAGAGAAAAAAGAAUAAAACAAAAUUAAAUUUAUCUUUUGUGGCCCUACAAGAAUAAUACUUAAAUCGAUGAGUCUUAUAUUUUAGGAAAUUGAUAUUUUUACAUGAAAAAAUGAUAUUUAAUUUCCACAUGAGUCUCUUUUAUAUGAAUGUGGGAC
rnacentral:lncRNA from 1 species